UGUAAGCGUAUACCAAAGUUGUUGCAGUUAAAACGCUCGUAGUCGGAAUUUGGCAGUUCCGGAUGUGUGCACGUCGUGUGCGCACUUCGCGGGGAUUGCUUUUGUGGUCUUGCGUAGGAUGAGGCACUUUUAUUAGUGAACGUCCUCACGCAACCACUUUUUACUGUGAGAAAAUCAGAGUGCUCAAAGCAGGCAUUUGCCGUGAAUGUAUUAGCAUGGAAUAAUAGAAUAGGACUUGGUUCUAUUUUGUUGGUUUGUUGGGACUGAGUAAUGAUUAAGAGGGACAGUUGGGGGCAUUUGUAUUUCGGUGCUAGAGGUGAAAUUCUUAGAUUACCGAAAGACAAACUGCUGCGAAAGCGUCUGUCAAGGAUGUUUUCAUUGA
rnacentral:rRNA from 1 species